rnacentral:rRNA from 1 species
UCGAACGGGAAAAUUUCAUUGAGACUUCGGUGGAUUUGAUCUAUUUCUAGUGGCGGACGGGUGAGUAACGCGUGGGUAACCUGCCUUAUACAGGGGGAUAACAGUCAGAAAUGGCUGCUAAUACCGCAUAAGCGCACAGAGCUGCAUGGCUCAGUGUGAAAAACUCCGGUGGUAUAAGAUGGACCCGCGUUGGAUUAGCUAGUUGGUGGGGUAACGGCCCACCAAGGCGACGAUCCAUAGCCGGCCUGAGAGGGUGAACGGCCACGUUGGGACUGAGACACGGCCCAGACUCCUACGGGAGGCAGCAGUGGGGAAUAUUGCACAAUGGGGGAAACCCUGAUGCAGCGACGCCGCGUGAAGGAAGAAGUAUCUCGGUAUGUAAACUUCUAUCAGCAGGGAAGAUAGUGACGGUACCUGACUAAGAAGCCCCGGCUAACUACGUGCCAGCGGCCGCGGUAAUACGUAGGGGGCAAGCGUUAUCCGGAUUUACUGGGUGUAAAGGGAGCGUAGACGGUGUGGCAAGUCUGAUGUGAAAGGCAUGGGCUCAACCUGUGGACUGCAUUGGAAACUGUCAUACUUGAGUGCCGGAGGGGUAAGCGGAAUUCCUAGUGUAGCAGUGAAAUGCGUAGAUAUUAGGAGGAACACCAGUGGCGAAGGCGGCUUACUGGACGGUAACUGACGUUGAGGCUCGAAAGCG